rnacentral:rRNA from 1 species
GAUGAACGCUGGCGGCGUGCUUAACACAUGCAAGUCGAACGAUGAUGCCCAGCUUGCUGGGUGGAUUAGUGGCGAACGGGUGAGUAACACGUGAGUAACCUGCCCUUGACUCUGGGAUAAGCCUGGGAAACUGGGUCUAAUACCGGAUACGACCAUCUGGCGCAUGUCAUGGUGGUGGAAAGCUUUUGUGGUUUUGGAUGGACUCGCGGCCUAUCAGCUUGUUGGUGGGGUAAUGGCCUACCAAGGCGACGACGGGUAGCCGGCCUGAGAGGGUGACCGGCUACACUGGGACUGAGACACGGCCCAGACUCCUACGGGAGGCAGCAGUGGGGAAUAUUGCACAAUGGGCGCAAGCCUGAUGCAGCGACGCCGCGUGAGGGAUGACGGCCUUCGGGUUGUAAACCUCUUUCAGUAGGGAAGAAGCGAAAGUGACGGUACCUGCAGAAGAAGCGCCGGCUAACUACGUG